rnacentral:rRNA from 1 species
UGCCAGCCGCCGCGGUAAUACGGAGGGGGCAAGCGUUGUUCGGAAUUACUGGGCGUAAAGCGCACGUAGGCGGACUUUUAAGUCAGAUGUGAAAUCCCAAGGCUCAACCUUGGAACUGCAUUUGAAACUGGGAGUCUAGAGAUCAGGAGAGGUUAGUGGAAUACCGAGUGUAGAGGUGAAAUUCGUAGAUAUUAGGAAGAACACCGGUGGCGAAGGCGGCUCACUGGCCCGUUACUGACGCUGAGGUGCGAAAGCGUGGGGAGCAAACAGGAUUAGAUA